rnacentral:rRNA from 1 species
UACGUAGGCAGCAAGCGUUGUUCGGAGUUACUGGGCGUAAAGGGUGCGUAGGUGGCUCUAUAAGUAUGGUGUGAAAUCUCCCGGCUUAACUGGGAGGGUGCGCCGUAGACUGUGGGGCUAGAGUGUGGGAGAGGAAAGUGGAAUUCCAGGUGUAGCGGUGAAAUGCGUAGAUAUCUGGAGGAACACCGGUGGCGAAGGCGGCAUCCUGGACCGACACUGACGCUGAGGCGCGAAAGCUAGGGUAGCAAACGGG